rnacentral:rRNA from 1 species
GACGAACGCCGGCGGCGUGCUUAACACAUGCAAGUCGAACGAUGAAGCCGGAGCUUGCUCUGGUGAAUUAGUGGCGAACGGGCGAGUAACACGUGAGUAACCUGCCCUUGACUCUGGGAUAACUGCGGGAAACUGUAGCUAAUACCGGAUACGACCCUCGGAGGCAUCUCCUGGUGGUGGAAAGAAUUUCGGUCAAGGAUGGACUCGCGGCCUAUCAGCUAGUUGGUGAGGUAAAGGCUCACCAAGGCGACGGCGGGUAGCCGGCCUGAGAGGGUGACCGGCCACACUGGGACUGAGACACGGCCCAGACUCCUACGGGAGGCAGCAGUGGGGAAUAUUGCACAAUGGGCGCAAGCCUGAUGCAGCAACGCCGCGUGAGGGAUGACGGCCUUCGGGUUGUAAACCUCUUUUAGCAGGAAAGAAGCGAAAGGGACGGUACCUGCAGAAAAAGCACCGGCUAACUACGUGCCAGCAGCCGCCGUAA